GUGUAAGCUUUUCUGGUUAUUUUAUCAACGAUAAUCGCAGCAACAUAGCAGCCAUAUGACUUGCUCUAUAAAAGUUUUGCACUUAAUUUCCGCCAAAGCUUCACAGUGGAAUGCUGUAGAACAGAGUAGAACACUACAUUCCUGUGACAUACUGUAUAUCUUCGUAUAAAAAUAGGAAGGGGGACCUAGAGCGAAGGAGGGAGCAUUGAAGGAGAGGGAGGGAGAACGCUGGAUACAGCACAUCUUUCCAUCCUACGUUCCCCACUCGCAUUUGAGGAAAUUGGAACUCUGUUAAGCCCAUAUACCUGGGAAGAUGCCUACGAUGCGCCACGCACGUUGCCUCAAAGGAAACGGACUGACUGCUGAGAACGACCGAGAGUAUUCCUGAAUAAACGAGGGACACCUGACCAAGUUUACCAGCCUCCACACCUCUCUACUGGACAGUGACCAGCCUCCACGCCUCUCUACUGGACAGUGACCAGCCUCCAUUCUCUACUGGAUACUGGCCAGCCUCCACUCCUCUCCACAUGACAGUGACCAGCCUCCAGGCCCUCUACAGGAUAUCCAGCCUCCAGUCUCUAAAGGACAGUGACUUCCAGUCUCUUCUACAGGAUCGUGAAAGCAUCCUCGUUACUUGGAAUGUGAUGGAGCCAGUGAUGUGAACUGUGACAUGCUGGAAGUUUUGUGGUUGUUCUGUCUGCCUAUCCUCGGGCAGCCACUCUCCUAUCCGCUAUGCAGCCAAGAGAGGAUCGACAUUGUUGACCGUACAAAAAACGAGCUGUCCAAGGUGUCGGAGGGGGUGAACCUCACUCUGUACACGCCCACCACCACCGACAUGGGGUGCGUGCGUGUUUGUGUGCAUGUGUCUGUGUGUGUGUGUGUGUGUGUGUGUGUGUGUGUGUGAAACGGCGUCUGUGUGAGUCUUCAGCAGAGUUGUGGAAAUGCCUCUCUGAAGUGUUUCUUGGACGAGGCGAAGGUCCUGUAUAUAGAGCUGGGCGUGGGAGGAGAGUCUCUACAAAAGUUGAUCCAGAAAAUGAAUAGAAGCCUAUCACUCCUUUCCAAUUACCCUGUGCCGGAGGCCAGCUGUGAGCUUAUGUCCUGUGAGCUUCAUCCCGAGAUGUCAGCGGAUAGUUUCCUCCAUAAUCUAGGCAUAUUCUUAAUGCAGAUGAACUCUUCCUACUGUAGGAAGAGGUAGGUAGCGGGGGAAGCAAUGCUGUUUCCCUUGAGUUGCUUUUUUCUACAACUCAAAAUACACACAAACAACAGCUGCAAUGAUGGAGGCUUGUUGGAGGAGGAGGAUGGGUGACAAGCUGAUAUAAAGACUAUAACCGCUAUUGGUUAGGGUUUGUUAUUGGUUUAGGUUCAGUUUCACACAUUCCAUUCCAUUCAAUUAUGGGAUGAGUAUAUAUUUUAUUUAACUGCUUAGAUAAUGACUGGUACAUAUACAUUUCAGCACAAACUGCCAAUCAUAUGGUAUGUUAAUAAAAUCUGUGGUGUUAUA